rnacentral:rRNA from 1 species
AAAAGAAACCAACAGGGAUUGCCUCAGUAACGGCGAGUGAAGCGGCAAAAGCUCAAAUUUGAAAUCUAGCACUUUCAGUGUUCGAGUUGUAAUUUGAAGAAGGUAACUUUGGUUUUGGCUCUUGUCUAUGUUCCUUGGAACAGGACGUCACAGAGGGUGAGAAUCCCGUGCGAUGAGAUGCCCAAUUCCAUGUAAAGUGCUUUCGAAGAGUCGAGUUGUUUGGGAAUGCAGCUCUAAGUGGGUGGUAAAUUCCAUCUAAAGCUAAAUAUUGGCGAGAGACCGAUAGCGAACAAGUACAGUGAUGGAAAGAUGAAAAGAACUUUGAAAAGAGAGUGAAAAAGUACGUGAAAUUGUUGAAAGGGAAGGGCUUGAGAUCAGACUUGGUAUUUUGCGUUCCCUUCCUUUUUGGUUGGGUUCCUCGCAGUUUACUGGGCCAGCAUCGGUUUGGAUGGUAGGAUAAUGACAUUGGAAAUGUAGCUUUACUUCGGUGAAGUGUUAUAGACUUUGUUGAUACUGCCUAUCUAGACCGAGGACUGCGUCUUUGACUAGGAUGCUGGCGUAAUGAUCUUAAGCCGCCCGUC